GGCCAGUGUGACAUAGUGGUUUGAGUGUUGGACUGCAAAUCUGAAGACCAGGAUUCAAUUCCCUUCUUGGCCA
rnacentral:tRNA from 1 species